GAUGCACCAGAAAACCGAACAAGAAAAAGAAAACAAGAGCAAAGCAGGUCCCCUGCUGUGCCCCCAGGUACAUGACCACAUGCCAGAAAGAAAAGCCAUCCAGAGCCACCUAUGCAGAUGCCCACAGAGCUUGCCAAGGAGCAGAUGCCUUGGGCAGUAAAUCAUCUACAGUUUGGUCUCUGGGGUUGUAUGACUGCCAUCAAAAAAUGCAGAGAGGAGGAGGAGACAAGGCCACUGGCAGUGAGCACUACUCUGAGCAGCACCUGGCCAGUAUCAGCUGUUUUGCAAAAGGAGUUGCAAGUGUAUAUUUCAAGGAAAAAGAAGAAACAAGAAAAAAAAAGAGAAAAAGUACCACUUUGUAAAGGUUUCUUGCUAUCACCGCUACCAGUUCCUCCGCUUCUAACUGAGAGGAAAAGCCCAGAAAUACCCGGGUGUAGAAGAUUAUGUCCUGACAACUUUAAUGCUAAGAGUCUUAGUGAUACCUUUUCACACACAACUUUUUAGUAGCAGUUUUAGCAGGUGUAAACUCUGUGUUCCCUCCUCACCCAGGCUGUUUCUCCCUGGGCUCAGGUCAAGACUUACGUUGUGCCAAUUCAAGUGUUUGGAGCGGAUAAUUGAUCCCACUGAAAACAAUUCUUUUUCCUUGCUUUUGGCUGGAUUUGCUCACUGAUCUGCUCACUGUACUAUCACACAAGCUGUUGUAACAGCAAGUACGGAGUGGGAGGUGAGGAGUGGGCUGCUCCUCUUGAUGGCUGUGUCGCUGUUUGACUGAAGUUAGAACAAAGGCAGACAUGAAAGAAGCUACAUUUAUCGCUUAAGCUGCUGGACAUCCCCCUUCAGGGAUGUCGCUAGUCAUAUUCUGUGCAGUAGAGGAACUGCAUCACUUAAAUACUUCAGAGCAAGAUCAAAAUGUUUCAAGAUGAGCUAACAUAGGAUGCUUUACUUUCUCAAGACGGCAUUCCACAAACAUCUGACCAAAGUGAGGGAACACCGUGCACGGUGCUGGGCUGAGAGGGAACUGCCACCAAAACUAAGAUGCUUUGUGUUUCAGCAUUCAACAGGCCUUGCCUCGUCACGCCGCCAUAGCGCCACCUGCUGCCCCGGGCGGCCGGGAAAUGGAGACCGCGAUCGCCCACCUGCCGGCCUGUUGGGGCUUUUCCCCCGACCCAAGGUGGAGGCAAUGUGAUACUGAUAUUUCUAAGCUUUAUACCAACAACCUGGCAUAUGAAGCAAAGAAGCCCUGUCAGAUGAGUAUUCCUGGUCCCAUAACACACAGCAUUUUCAAAGGAGUUGUUGUGGUUUAACCCAGCAGGUGGCUCACCACCACACAGUCAUUCACUCAUGACUUAGUGCGUGUUCUGUUUUAAAUCUUUAUUGAUGAUCUGGACAAGAAGAUUUAGUGUACCCUCAGUAAGUUUGCAGAUAGCACCAAGCUGCUAAGAAGUGUCAAUCUGCCUGGGGGUAAGAAGGUCCUACAGAGGGAUCUGGACAGUGUCCAUCACUGGGAUGAAGCCAGUAGGAUGAAAUUCAACAAGACCAAGUGCCAGGUCCUGAACUUUGGCCACAACAACCCCAGGAAAUGCUACAGGCUUGAGGCAGAGUGGCUGGAAGGUUGUGCAAAAGAAAUGGACCUCGGGGUGCUGGUCAGUGCUUGGCUAAACUUGAACCAGCAGUGUGCCCAGGUAGCCAAGAAGGCCAAUGGCAUCCUGAUUGUAUCAGAAAUAGUGUUGUCAAGCAGGAGCAGGGAGGUGAAUUUCCCUUUGUACUCAGCUCUGGUGAGGCCACACCUUGGUGAUUGGACUGGAUGAUCUUGGAGGUCUUUUUUCAACCUUGGUAAUUCUAUGAUCCUGUGAUAAAUAAUACUGAUACCCAGCUAGCCCCCAGUGAAAGAGCAUGAGAUGAACUCCCAUUCCCUUCAAAACUCCUUCCACUUGAUGUCAUAUGGUAUGGAAUAUCUCUUUGGCCAGUUUAAGUCAGCUGUCCUAAUUCUGUUCCCUCCCAGCUCCUUGGGUCUUUCACUGCAAAUGGCAGUGACACUGUAAAACACUGCUUAGCAGUAACUAUAAAUAUUAGUGUGUUAUCAACACUGUUUUUCUCCAAGAACUAUAGCAGCAUACCAGGCAGUCUAAAGAAUACAAUUCCAUCCCAGCUGAAACUAAGACAGGAGUGUCUAUUUUUCUAUACCAAUGGAAGUGUCUUCCCCCUGAAACUGAGCAGCCAGCUUCACACACUACUUUUCAACUGGCAGGUGCUGAAUGGGAGAGCAGCAAGGAGACUUCACCCUGCAAGGCAGUGCUGAGCUAAUACCCUGCUGUGUCUGUGUGAAGAAGAAUGAUGUGGGGGUGUGACUCCCACACUGCAAAUACCAUCUUCUAGUUAAAGUCAAAAAUUCUGAUGACUUAAGUCUUCUGAAUUUCUCUGCUGGGACUGUGGGGCAGGAAUGAAACUUGAAAAAAAGGGAUAUGCUACCAUAGUGGAACGCCACAGUACAUUGCCACUUUUAGGGCAUUUUAAGAAGGCAGUAUAAGGCAGAUGGUAUGACAAGUAUAAAGAUCACCCUGAUCUUCUGUCAAGCCAGGUAGUUUUUGGCUUGCUGAGGUAAUUCUUGUUGUCAGAAGGGUAGCAUACUCUAGAAAGGCAAAAAUAUUGGUCUAACCAUUCUACCAGUUGGAAUGACUCCCCUGUGGUUUUCCUCACUUCUAUGACUGACUUGAUAUUUGGUUUUUCUAUACCAAAGUAGAGAGGGAAAUUUUGAGUAUGUAUUUGUAUAAGCUGUCUUUGUACCAGUGAAAUAUCAAAUAUGUUCAGGCAUAAAUGUAAUUUUUUUCUAAAACUUUAUUUAAAAUCCAUUCGAAAUAAAGCUUUAUAAGUCUCUGUACCCA
rnacentral:lncRNA from 1 species